rnacentral:rRNA from 1 species
GGGUUGUGAGGUUAAGCGACUAAGCGUACACGGUGGAUGCCCUGGCAGUCAGAGGCGAUGAAGGGCGUACUAAUCUGCGAUAAGCGCCGGUAAGGUGAUAUGAACCGUUAUAACCGGCGAUACCCGAAUGGGGAAACCCAGUGUGAUUCGUCACACUAUCAUUAACUGAAUCCAUAGGUUAAUGAGGCGAACCGGGGGAACUGAAACAUCUAAGUACCCCGAGGAAAAGAAAUCAACCGAGAUUCCCCCAGUAGCGGCGAGCGAACGGGGAGGAGCCCAGAGCCUGAAUCAGCAUGUGUGUUAGUGGAAGCGUCUGGAAAGGCGCGCGAUACAGGGUGACAGCCCCGUACACAAAAGCGCAUGUGCUGUGAGCUCGAUGAGUAGGGCGGGACACGUGGUAUCCUGUCUGAAUAUGGGGGGACCAUCCUCCAAGGCUAAAUACUCCUGACUGACCGAUAGUGAACCAGUACCGUGAGGGAAAGGCGAAAAGAACCCCGGCGAGGGGAGUGAAAAAGAACCUGAAACCGUGUACGUACAAGCAGUGGGAGCCCCACCACCAAAGCAUUUGCUGUACCGCGUUGACGGAGCGAAGCGACGUCAAACCGAUAAAAC